rnacentral:misc_RNA from 1 species
CGGUAGGGGACAGACGGACAAGAUGUGUGUAUGAAAGAGAAUGAGUGCAUAGCUCCGGACUACGGAGAAUGGAGAUGUUGUGUUCAAAGACAGGUCGUUUGGUGUUUUUAUUUUACCAAGAACAACAUAAUUAUAUUGAUAUCACAAGUGACUUGAAAAUGGCAAACUCUCAUCGUCAACCUGUGUACGCGUACUGUGUGGUUCACAUCAGAAUCUUGCCAUGCGACAUUUAUUUUCAUAUCCACUAUUUAAACGCACAGAUUUCUUUGUAGGAACAUUUAUACAUUUUAUGAAUGUGUGUAAAAGCGUAGUCCUCCCCACAUUUUCUACCUCCAAUUACUAGAGAUUACUAUAUGUAGAUCAUGUCUUUCCAAUGUUGUAUUACCACUUUGGUCACAUUAUUGACAGAAGUUCCAUACAACCUCUAGUUUUUUAUUCCCUAUAUACGUCUGUGUAACUCCUUUUUGUAUGCUACUUGAUGUGAUGAAAUGGUGUCAUGUUGUGCAUUAAGUAUCAUUAAUUUUCUUCAUUUCCUGUUUGAAAGAUCUGAUAUUGCACAAAGUAAUCGAUUGUGUCGCAUGUAAUGUGAUUCCUUGCAAUAGCGAGAAAUGGGAAGGGGUCCUGAUAGAAACAAUGAGACGGCCGAUGUUCUAUAUAUUAACAUAGGUAUAGGUUUGCAUCAAUCAUGCAGCUGUUUGAAGCCAUUAUACGCAUAUCUACGCCGAAUCUCCAAUAGGAUGCAACGGCGCAAAACGCAAUUAUUAUAUAGUGAUACAAGUUAUUCGGAUACAUCUGGAAUGAUCGUUUUUACUUUAAUUGCUGAAUUGAAACAUUAUCAUUCACUGUGUCAUUCUUUAUCGAUCACUGCAGAAUUGUUCACUGCCAAAAUAAUGGCCUCUUCCCCCCAAAAGUCACUUGGUAGUACCCACAAUAUCUAGUAAACGACACGUGACUUUUCCCGUCAGCAGUUGUCCAGAUCAUGAUGACCUGCCUAUGACAUUUGUGCAAUAAUAGGACUUUUCCAUUUUAUCCACCUUUUUUGAGCCGUGAAGUGGCUAUCGCUGGUCGAUCAGCCAUUCUGUGUAAAACGGACGCUUCUCCAUGUCUUUUGAUAUAAAGAACCCAUAGCAUGCGAGAACGAUUAGAAUAAUCUGUUUUGUUUUUAUUAAAGACGCACAAUGU